GAUGAACGCUGGCGGCGUGCCUAAUACAUGCAAGUCGAGCGAACGGACGAGAAGCUUGCUUCUCUGAUGUUAGCGGCGGGCGGGUGAGUAACACGUGGAUAACCUACCUAUCAGACUGGGAUAACUUCGGGAAACCGGAGCUAAUACCGGAUAAUAUUUUGAACCGCAUGGUUCAAAAGUGAAAGACGGUCUUGCUGUCACUUAUAGAUGGAUCCGAGCUGCAUUAGCUAGUUGGUAAGGUAACGGCUUACCAAGGCAACGAUGCAUAGCCGACCUGGGGGAUGGAUAGGCGACACUGGAAGUGGAACACGGGCCAGACUCCUACGGGAGGCAGCAGUAGGGAACCUUCCGCAAUAGGCGAAAGCAUGACGGAGCAACGCGGCGUGGGUGAUGAAGGCCUUCGGGUCGGAAAACUCUGUUAUUAGGGGAGAACAUAUGUGUAAGUAGCAGAGCACAGCAUGACGGUACCUAAUCAGAAAGCCACGGCUAACUACGUG
rnacentral:rRNA from 1 species